rnacentral:misc_RNA from 1 species
GAACAUUCUAAACGUAAAGGAGAGAUGUAUUUCUCGAGAAUCUCUUUAUUUUCCUUUAGAAGAGGUCCCUAUAGGAUUUUGGUGGAAUGAAUUUUAUGGUAUAUGUAUUAUUAAAAAAGCUGUGCAGAAUCCAUCCAUGGAAGCAUUUCAAUGCAUAAACAGAAGAGCACCAAGAGUUCAUGUAUGUGUUUCAAGAAAGUGGAAAUCAAGUUCCAAGACAUAAGCAUUUUAGAGCCAUUUAUUUGACAAAUGCAAUAUUUUUGGUAUUUGAUAUGGAGGAAGAGUACUGAUAAUUGUGUUUUCUGU